rnacentral:lncRNA from 1 species
AUGAAGAAAGAUGAGAAGCACAUGUUUUAUUUGUGAUAUGCGGUAUUGAUUUUGGGAGAGCACCUUCUUUUCCUCCUUAAGGUGAAGUCACGGCCUGAUGCACAAGGUCAAGAACAACUUUUGGAAUUUUCAUUAACCUUGAAGAAGAGGAGUUGUCACAUCAUGAGAGUUCCUUUUAUUGUGUUUAUGUUUGGAUGAGAAGAACUUUUGCAUUUCAUUGUUUGAGAAGCAUAGAAAGGCAACA